CACGUAGGGGGCAAGCGUUGUCUGGAUUUAUUGGGCGUAAAGAGCUCGUAGGUGGUUCGGUAAGUCGGGUGUGAAAACUCUGGGCUCAACUCAGAGACGCCACCCGAUACUGCUGUGACUUGAGUCUGGUAGGGGAGUGUGGAAUUCCCAGUGUAGCGGUGAAAUGCGCAGAUAUUGGGAGGAACACCAGUGGCGAAGGCGGCACUCUGGGCCAGUACUGACACUGAGGCGCGAAAGCGUGGGGAGCAAACAGG
rnacentral:rRNA from 1 species